AGGUUGGCUUAGAAGCAGCCAUCCUUUAAAGAAAGCGUAACAGCUCACUGGUCUAGUGAUUUUGCGCUGAAAAUAUAACGGGGCUAAGAUAGACACCGAAGUUGUAGAUUGUGCGUAAGCACAGUGGUAGAAGAGCGUUCGUAUCAGCGUUGAAGGUAUACCGGCAAGGAGUACUGGAGCGAUGCGAAGUGAGCAUGCAGGAAUGAGUAGCGAUAAAAUAUGUGAGAAUCAUAUUCGCCGAAAAUCUAAGGUUUCCUACGCGAUGCUCGUCAUCGUAGGGUUAGUCGGGUCCUAAGACAAGUCCGAAAGGGGUAGUCGAUGGCAAAUAGGUUAAUAUUCCUAUACCGAUAUUAGUGUGCGACGGAAGGACGCAUAGGGCUAAACGUUGUUAGCGGAUGGUUGUGCUAAUUUAAGGGCGUAGAUUGGAGGAUAGGUAAAUCCACCUCUGUAUUCGAAACCUGAUGAGCUUUCUGAAGUCUUCGGAUGGAAGGGAGUAACGUUGAUGCCGUCGUGCCAAGAAAAGUUUCUAAGUUUAGCUAAUAUCGCUCGUACCGUAAACCGACACAGGUAGAUGAGAUGAGUAUUCUAAGGCGCGUGGAAGAACUCUGGUUAAGGAACUCUGCAAACUAGCACCGUAAGUUCGCGAUAAGGUGUGCCUAAGCAAUUAGGUCUCAGCAAAGAGUCCCUCCCGACUGUUUACCAAAAACACAGCACUUUGCAAACUCGCAAGAGGAAGUAUAAGGUGUGACGCCUGCCCG
rnacentral:rRNA from 1 species